rnacentral:rRNA from 1 species
AUGGCCGGCGGAAUUGUGACCGUGGCGAGCGGGGUGAUGAGCCCCCUCAUCGGCAAGCUCACCGCACUCAUGGGUGACGAGUACAACAAGUUCAAAGGGGUGAGGAAGCAAGCCUCAUUCCUCCAGAAGGAACUCAGCGCCAUGAACGCCGCCCUACAGAAGCUUGAGCUCAUGGAUGAAGACCUCGAUCCAACCGUCAAGGAUUGGAGGGAUCAUGUCAGGGAGAUGUCCUACAACAUGGAGAACUGCAUUGAUGAUUUCAUACGCCAAUCUCAGGCUGGCGAUGCCAAGGUGGGCUUCAUCAAGAAGACUGCUCGACACAUCAAGAAGUUGCGUUGGCGUCUUCGGAUUGCCGACCAGAUGGAAGAGCUGAAGAACCUUGCAAUAGAGGCGAAUGCUCGGCGCCAGAGGUAUAAGAUUGAUGAUUGGAAGCCUUCCUCUAGCAGUGUGGUUGUUGACCCUCGAAUCCCAGCGCUCUACCAAGAGGCAUCUACUCUUGUGGGAAUUGAUGGCCCAAGGGAGGAGGUUGCCACUUUGUUGUUGGAUAGUCGAAAGGAUGUCAAGGUCGUGUCCAUAGUCGGAUUCGGUGGUCUUGGUAAAACAACACUUGCCAAAGAAGUAUAUUAUAAGAUUGGAUCACAAUUCGACUGCAAGGCAUGCAUUUCAGUUUCACAGAGGCCUGAUAUGACUGACCUGCUCAUGAAUUUGCAAAAGAAACUAGGGAUGAAGGAUCCCAAGUCAUCUCGUGCUGCUGGCAAGGUUGACGACAUCAUUGAAGAGCUAAGAAAACAUCUGAAAAAGAAGAGGUACCUUAUUGUUGUUGACGAUGUGUGGGAUGUAUCAGCAUGGAAUAUUAUCAAAUGUGCUUUUCCAGAAGAUGGUAAUGGAAGUAGAGUACUAGUUACAACUCGAUUGGAACGUGUGGCUGGCACAGCCUGCCAGAAUGACCGAGGGGGCAUCUACAAAUUGGAACCUCUCAGUGAGGAAAAUUCAAAAAUGUUAUUGUUGAAGAGAGUAUUUGGGUCUGGACAUGGUUGUCCACCCCAACUUGAAGAACUUAUGGCUGAGAUUUUGCGGAAGUGUCAUGGAUUGCCACUUGCAGUUAUCACAAUCUCUAGCCUAUUAGCCAAUGAAGGGAAAUCAAGAAAGGGCUGGGAGAGUAUAAGGGAUUCUUUGGGUGUCCAAUCUGCCACAAAUCCCACAAUGGAACAGAUGAAUGAUAUAUUAAACCUUAGCUAUAUGCAUCUUCCUGCUCAUCUUCGGGCAUGUUUUUUGUACUUUGGUAUGUAUCCUGAGGAUAGCCUGAUCUUAAGGGAUGAUCUGAUUCGGCAAUGGGUAGCUGAAAGCUUUAUCAGUAAUUUAUAUGUGCAAGAUCAGGAGGAUAUUGGCAUGAGUUAUUUCAAUGAGCUUGUCAAUAGAAGCAUGGUUCAACAGUUUGAAUUAGACAAUGGGCAGGUUGUGUGUUCAGUACACGACAUGCUGCUUGAUUUGAUCCUAAGCAAGUGUGCUCAAGACAACUUUGCAAGUGUGGCAUACAGUUAUCAAGACAUGACAAAAUUGCAUGGCCGCGAAUACAAGAUUCGUCGAUUAUCUCUAAGCUCCAUGGCUGGUUGCCGGGCAACAUAUGGCUCAGAUAUUGUUGUUAGCAUGUCACAAGUUCGAUCAUUUACACUGCUGAGAAACUCCAUGCCUAAUCUUCUGUUAUUCAAGUAUGUCCGGGUGCUUAGAAUUCGUCAAGACCAUGGAGACGAGGAGAGCCUUGACCUGACUGCUAUUGGCCAAUUGUUUCAGCUGAGGUACCUGUAUGUUUCAGGACCAUAUGUCAUACAUCUCCCCGCUGAACUUCACAGGCUUGUUUACUUAGAGACACUAGACAUACGUCGUACACGGUGUAUGAGCAUCCCCUCAGAUAUGGUCCACAUGCCCCGCUUGUUCUAUCUUGGUAUAAAGAUCGGGGACAUGCUGCCUGAAUGGAUAGGGAAUAUGAAAUCACUGCGCAGUUUGGAAAUAUGGCCUGACUAUAAAAGCAAGGAGAGGAACUUGAAUGUGAUGAAGGGCAUUAUUGGUCUCGGCAUGUUGACUGAUCUAAGGGAACUGACGAUAGAUGUGAGGUCUUUGGAGAAGUCAGAAGUUGAUGCUUUGGCCAGCUCCAUUGGAAAGCUUUGUAACCUAAACUACAUUCGGUUCUCUGGAAGAUGUAUUGAAGGUAGCCGGUUGGGCUCAUUAUCCAAUCCUUUUCGGCAGAUCGAGGAAUUUCAUGGGGUUAUAUGGUAUUUCCCUAGAGUUCCCAUAUGGAUGUGUGGUCUUUAUUGCCUUCGCAUCCUCGAGUUACAGGUGGAGGAGACGUCAACUGAGGAGGUUCAGCUUCUUGGAGAGCUUCCCUCCCUCGUCCAAUUCAGCUUUCGGUCGUCACGAAUCCCUAAAAAAAGGGCUAUGCUGGGCACGAGACUAUUCCCGAUUGUGGAGCACUUCGAAUUUCAGUCCGAGGAAGAUGUUAUGGUGUACCUGGGGUUCGAGGCAGGAGCCAUGCCCAACCUACGAACCCUCGGUCUCGGUGACAAGAAGUGGGACGGCAAUAUACCAGUCGGGUUGGAGCACCUGUUAUGCCUCGAGAAGAUUCAACUGCAUGGGCCCAACUCCGGUGAUGAUGCCAUAGUGUCUGCAUUCAGGGACGCCUUGUCGGUGCAACCCAACCACCCUUCCAUUGAACACUGGCAUCCAGAAGGUUCCGCUCAUGUUAUGCGGCCUGCGAUUUAG